CCAACCUUUUCUAUUACACACCCGUGCACCUUUUGUAGGUCCUCGAAAGAGGAUCUAUGUAUUUCAUCAUCACACCUAUCGUAUGUCUAGAAUGUCAUCGUCGACCACUGGGCGGCGAAAUAAAUAAUACAACUUUCAGCAACGGAUCUCUUGGCUCUCGCAUCGAUGAAGAACGCAGCGAAUUGCGAUAAGUAAUGUGAAUUGCAGAUUUUCAGUGAAUCAUCGAAUCUUUGAACGCACCUUGCGCUCCUUGGUAUUCCGAGGAGCAUGCCUGUUUGAGUGUCAUUAAAUUCUCAACCAUGACUUUGUUGACAUGGCUUGGAGUUGGGGGUUGCUGGCUUGUUUGUCAGCUCUCCUGAAAUACAUUAGCGGUGGACAAGCAAGGCCUUCCGACGUGAUAAUGAUCGUCGUGGGGCGGAGCAUCAACGUCUGUCUGCUUCUAAAUCCCAGAUGCCUUAGCUAGACAUCAUUUCGAACGCUUGACCUCAAAUCAGGUAGGACUACCCGCUGAACUUAAGCAUAUCAAUA
rnacentral:misc_RNA from 1 species